CUCAGGAGGGGGGGUCCCUCAGCCCGCAUUGCGAGAGGGCGCAAGCCAGGCCGAGGGACCCCACCGGUGCACG
rnacentral:pre_miRNA from 1 species